rnacentral:rRNA from 1 species
UACGGAAGGCAGCAGUGGGGAAUAUUGCACAAUGGGCGCAAGCCUGAUGCAGCCAUGCCGCGUGUAUGAAGAAGGCCUUCGGGUUGUAAAGUACUUUCAGUCGUGAGAAAGGUGUUAAGGUUAAUAACCUUAGCAAUUGACGUUAGCGACAGAAGAAGCACCGGCUAACUCCGUGCCAGCAGCCGCGGUAAUACGGAGGGUGCGAGCGUUAAUCGGAAUUACUGGGCGUAAAGGGCACGCAGGCGGUUAAUUAAGUUGGAUGUGAAAUCCCCGGGCUUAACCUGGGAAUGGCAUUCAAGACUGGUUAGCUAGAGUCUUGUAGAGGGGGUAGAAUUCCAUGUGUAGCGGUGAAAUGCGUAGAGAUGUGGAGGAAUACCGGUGGCGAAGGCGGCCCCUGGACAAAGACUGACGCUCAUGUGCGAAAGCGUGGGGAGCAAACGAGGGAUUAGAUACC